rnacentral:rRNA from 1 species
GACGAACGCUGGCGGCGUGCUUAACACAUGCAAGUCGAACGGAAAGGCCCUGCUUUUGUGGGGUGCUCGAGUGGCGAACGGGUGAGUAACACGUGAGUAACCUGCCCUUGACUUUGGGAUAACUUCAGGAAACUGGGGCUAAUACCGGAUAGGAGCUCCUGCUGCAUGGUGGGGGUUGGAAAGUUUCGGCGGUUGGGGAUGGGCUCGCGGCUUAUCAGCUUGUUGGUGGGGUAGUGGCUUACCAAGGCUUUGACGGGUAGCCGGCCUGAGAGGGUGACCGGCCACAUUGGGACUGAGAUACGGCCCAGGCUCCUACGGGAGGCAGCAGUGGGGAAUAUUGCACAAUGGGCGGAAGCCUGAUGCAGCAACGCCGCGUGCGGGAUGACGGCCUUCGGGUUGUAAACCGCUUUCGCCUGUGACGAAGCGUGAGUGACGGUAAUGGGUAAAGAAGCACCGGCUAACUACGUG